rnacentral:rRNA from 1 species
AUUGAACGCUGGCGGCAUGCCUUACACAUGCAAGUCGAACGGUAACAGGUCUUCGGAUGCUGACGAGUGGCGGACGGGUGAGUAAUACAUCGGAACGUGCCCGAUCGUGGGGGAUAACGAAGCGAAAGCUUUGCUAAUACCGCAUACGAUCUACGGAUGAAAGCGGGGGAUCUUCGGACCUCGCGCGGACGGAGCGGCCGAUGGCAGAUUAGGUAGUUGGUGGGAUAAAAGCUUACCAAGCCGACGAUCUGUAGCUGGUCUGAGAGGAUGAUCAGCCACACUGGGACUGAGACACGGCCCAGACUCUGACGGGAGGCAGCAGUGGGGAAUUUUGGAAAAUGGGCGCAAGCCUGAUCCAGCCAUGCCGCGUGCAGGAUGAAGGCCUUCGGGUUGUAAACUGCUUUUGUACGGAACGAAAAGGUGCCUUCUAAUAAAGGGCGCUCAUGACGGUACCGUAAGAAUAAGCACCGGCUAACUACGU